CAUGCCGUAAACGGUGGGCGCUAGGUGUAGGGGACUUCCACGUCUUCUGUGCCGCAGCUAACGCAUUAAGCGCCCCGCCUGGGGAGUACGGCCGCAAGGCUAAAACUCAAAGGAAUUGACGGGGGCCCGCACAAGCGGCGGAGCAUGUGGAUUAAUUCGAUGCAACGCGAAGAACCUUACCUGGGCUUGACAUACACCGGACCGGGCUAGAGAUAGUCCUUCCCUUGUGGCUGGUGUACAGGUGG
rnacentral:rRNA from 1 species